CUGAACAGCGACGAGCGACGCCAUUGGUCUCGCGAUAAGCAGUUGCAACGUGGAGUUUGUUGCAGGGGAGCGCCCCUCGGACGUGCAAGAACACUUUCUUCGGACAGACUAAAGAAAAUCGAAGAAUCCCAUCCAUCCAUCAAAUCUCAAAAGAAAGGAAAGGAAAGGAAAAAGGAAGACGAAACGAAAAGGAAAGAAAGAUAGAGAUGAC